rnacentral:rRNA from 1 species
GAUCAUGGCUCAGGGUGAACGCUAGCUACAGGCUUAACACAUGCAAGUCGAGGGGCAGCAUGUUGGUUGCUUGCAACCAAUGAUGGCGACCGGCGCACGGGUGAGUAACGCGUAUCCAACCUACCCUUGUCCAUCGGAUAACCCGUCGAAAGGCGGCCUAACACGAUAUGCGGUUCACAGCAGGCAUCUAACGUGAACGAAGUGUGAAGGAGAAGGAUGGGGAUGCGU